CCCUCUCAGCAAUGGGCAGAGACACCUUGUUGGUGGUGUUAUUCUUCUAUCAGUCAGGAGCAGAGCAAAUGGCAGCUCUUUGUUCAUCUUAGCUUGAUGCCUGGCUUGGUGACCAAAGCUGUAUUAUGCCUAGGACACAUAA